UUAUCGUAACCGCUGAAUUCCAGUUUGGAAGCGGGGGAACCAUUUUUGUGGCGUUGCCACUUGGGGUGAAUCCUUUUUUGAAGGUAAGGUGACUCUUUGCACCUGAAUCCGACAGCUAACCUCGCAAGCGUUUAAAGAGAACCCAA
rnacentral:sRNA from 1 species